ACUCAAAUGAAUAGACGGGGGCCCGCACAAGCAGCGGAGCAUGUUGUUUAAUUCGAGGCGACGCGAAGAACCUUACCAGGUCUUGACAUCGAUCUAAGGCGCAAGAGAAGGCGCGUGCUUUCGGGCGAGAGAAGACAGGUGGUGCAUGGUUGUCGUCAGCUCGUGUCGUGAGAUGUUGGGUUAAGUCCCGCAACGAGCGCAACCCUUAUUGUCAGUUACUAACAAGUGAAGUUGAGGACUCUGACGAGACUGCCGGGGACAACUCGGAGGAAGGUGGGGACGACGUCAAAUCAUCAUGCCCCUUAUGACCUGGGCUACAAACGUGCUACAAUGGUGGCAACAAAGAGGGGCGAGUAUGCGAAUAUGAGCGGAUCUCAAAAAAGCCAUCCCAGUUCGGAUUGUGGGCUGCAACCCGCCCACAUGAAGUCGGAGUUGCUAGUAAUCGCGAAUCAGAAUGUCGCGGUGAAUACGUUCCCGGGCCUUGUACACACCGCCCGU
rnacentral:rRNA from 1 species